ensembl:snoRNA
UGGUCAUUACCAAGGCUUUGAGAAUGCAGUUUCUCAUUUGCUGUGGACAUGACCACAAAAAAAUUAUCCCACUAGGUUUUCUUUCUUUCUGCUACUUUGUUAGCAUUCAGCCUAUUGGGAACAUUU